rnacentral:rRNA from 1 species
GAUGAACGCUGGCGGCGUGCCUAAUACAUGCAAGUCUAGCGAACAGACGAGGAGCUUGCUCCUCUGACGUUAGCGGCGGACGGGUGAUUAACACGUGGAUAAUCUACCUAUAAGACUGGGAUAACUUCGGGAAACUGGACCUAAUACCGGAGAAUAUAUUGCACCUCAUGGUUCAAUAGUGAAAUACGUUUUUGCUGUCAUUUAUAGAUGGAUCCGCGCCGCAUUAGCUAGUUGGUAAGGUAACGGCUUACCAAGGCAACGAUGCGUAGCCGACCUGAGAGGGUGAUCGGCAACACAAGAACUGAGACGGGGUCCAGACUCCUACGGGAGGCAGCAGUAGGGAAUCUUCCGCAAUGGGCAAAGGCCUGAGGGAGCAACACCGCGUGAGUGAAGAAGGUCUUCGGAACGUAAAACUCUGUUAUUAGGGAAGAAAAAAUAUGUCAGUAACUAUGCACGUCUUGACGGUAACUAAUCAGAAAGCCACGCAUAACUACGUG